rnacentral:rRNA from 1 species
AGGCAGCAGUGGGGAAUAUUGGACAAUGGGCGAAAGCCUGAUCCAGCCAUGCCGCGUGAGUGAUGAAGGCCCUAGGGUUGUAAAGCUCUUUCGUGCGGGAAGAUAAUGACGGUACCGCAAGAAUAAGCCCCGGCUAACUUCGUGCCAGCAGCCGCGGUAAUACGAAGGGGGCUAGCGUUGCUCGGAAUCACUGGGCGUAAAGGGUGCGUAGGCGGGUUUUUAAGUCAGGGGUGAAAUCCUGGAGCUCAACUCCAGAACUGCCUUUGAUACUGAGAAUCUUGAGUACGGGAGAGGUGAGUGGAACUGCGAGUGUAGAGGUGAAAUUCGUAGAUAUUCGCAAGAACACCAGUGGCGAAGGCGGCUCACUGGCUCGUUACUGACGCUGAGGCACGAAAGCGUGGGGAGCAAACAGGAUUAGAUACCCUGGUAG